rnacentral:rRNA from 1 species
CCCUUCGGGGACACCGGCGGACGGCUCAGUAACACGUCGGUAACCUACCCUCGGGAGGGGGGAUAACCCCGGGAAACUGGGGCUAAUCCCCCAUAGGCCUGGGGUACUGGAAGGUCCCCAGGCCGAAAGGGGCUCUGCCCGCCCGAGGAUGGGCCGGCGGCCGAUUAGGUAGUUGGUGGGGUAACGGCCCACCAAGCCGAAGAUCGGUACGGGCCAUGAGAGUGGGAGCCCGGAGAUGGACACUGAGACACGGGUCCAGGCCCUACGGGGCGCAGCAGGCGCGAAACCUCCGCAAUGCGGGCAACCGCGACGGGGGGACCCCCAGUGCCGUGGCAACGCCACGGCUUUUCCGGAGUGUAAAAAGCUCCGGGAAUAAGGGCUGGGCAAGGCCGGUGGCAGCCGCCGCGGUAAUACCGGCGGCCCAAGUGGUGGCCGCUAUUAUUGGGCCUAAAGCGUCCGUAGCCAGGCCCGUAAGUCCCUGGCGAAAUCCCACGGCUCAACCGUGGGGCUUGCUGGGGAUACUACGGGCCUUGGGACCGGGAGAGGCGGGGGGUACCCCUGGGGUAGGGGUGAAAUCCUAUAAUCCCAGGGGGACCGCCAGUGGC